rnacentral:lncRNA from 1 species
UAAAAAAGUGCCUGUGUCAACCAUUCUUUCAUCACCUCUCCUAGAGUCUUCAGUUGAGACGACCUCUGAAGUGUCUGCUACAAUGAGUGAUGUAGUUAAUGAGAUCCAGUGACACUGUGACCCCGACCUCUUGUGGCCUUAGCUUUCGUCAUCCAUCUUCUUAGCUCCUCAGGCUGUGAGGCACUGUAUGGAAACAGGAUUAAGCAAGUGUGAAUAAACAAGUUCAAGCGUUUUCUGUCAUGGAUGCGAAAACAGGACAACAGUGAAAUGACACAUUAAUGUCUCAAAACUCCACGAUUAUGGAUUAUCAUUUUGCCAGUUCUCCUGAACAAGGAUUCUCCUGUGCUGAAGAUUCUUCUAUGCAUUACUGUUCCUUGAUUUCUGAAAACCCUUUUGGCACACUGUAUCCUGGUAAGUUCUCUGAGCGAAGCAGGACCUGCUUAUGAAGUCUGUCAUAAGAUAACAACAACAACCUGGAGUCAGAAGACAGAGAGGGAAGAGACUGUCCAGGGUUCUUGCUGCUGAUUUCUCUUCCGAUCUAAUCAAAUCAGUAUAGCCACCCAGGCAGGACUCAUAACCCU